rnacentral:lncRNA from 1 species
UUGAGUAGUCGAAAAAGGCCUUUCGGAUUUCUAAUCAAAUUCAACUUACUUUUUUUUAUAUUUAUAAUAAUAAAUAAACAAAUUUGUACCAUUUUGGUCGACCACAUUAGAGACAUUAUUACAUCAGUGUAAAAAUUGUAUCAGUGUUUUCUAGAACGGCGAGCGAACCAUUGUUGUGCUACAUGAACUGAUAUACAAUAGACCAAUAAAGAAAAAAUUAAUGCUAAUGCUUAAAAUGCGCCUGAUUCAUAUCAAAAAAGUUUACGUACACGAUACGAUAUUUUAUAGAUUCUCUCAGAAAAAUACAUUUUGAGUGUAAAAGGUAGUUCAGAUAGUGUACAGGAUGUGUUGCAAAAUCUGUACACUGACGAACUUGUGUAUUUAUUUAACUGAGGCGGUAGGGGUGGUAAGCAACCUCUCUCCAAAUUCCUGCUGGUUUCUAACAUUUUAUAUGAUUCUCUCAUAACAUAUGGCUUGGAAACUUAUAUAAAACAUGCUCGGAUAGCCAUCGAAAUGAGCCACCAUAGUCACAAGAAGAAAAUGUAUAGAAAGAAAAAAACUGAGAACAUUUAAUUAUGUAUUAAUUACUUUUGUUAUGUAUUUACAAAAUUAAUAUGAUUUCAAAU